UUUUGUACACUCGAGCGCAUGCAAAGACCCCCUCUCAUCGGCCGACGAAAAAAAAAAACAGCGAUGGCCAAGUUAGAGCAGCGCAGCCUUCAAAAGCCACGAGGGGAGCCAAAGCACAAGCUGGACUCUCUCAAGGCUAAGACCGGCGCCAAGCAGAGGUGGGACAAGAAGAUGAAGGAGAAGGAGCGCAUUCAGCGCGUGCGCAACUUGUCUCAGCAGCUCAAGGAUGAGAUCAACACGGAGCAGAAACGAGCCGCAGAGGCUCGCAAGGCAAAUCAGCAGCGAAAGAUCGAAAACGAAAAGAAGAGCAUGGUUGUUCAGAACAUCAAGAACGAAAAGGCAAUUCGAAAGCUGAGCCCGAAGCACCGCCGUGCCGCGCGCAUCUUCAUGCUGCAUGAGCUCAACUAGAGACAGUAGUGGCCGCUGCUUGUUUACGCUCACCUUGUUCUGUUUUACCUCAUCUUUUCGCCCCUGCCGGUGCUGCGAGUUUAUCGGCAUUUUUUGUGCGUGUGUACACCAUCCCUGUUCAGCUUAGAUAUGACGAGUAAGCUGAUAAUGUCAGGCGCUACAUACAAGGGCAAUCGUGUGCCGUCUUCUUAGUUUCACUGGUCGUACGCGACUCUCUUGUGUGUGGAAGGUUGGCCUUCCUUGGUGCUGCGCCGAGCACUGACAAC
rnacentral:misc_RNA from 1 species